AUCGCUUCUCGGCCUUAUGGCUAAGAUCAAAGUGUAGAUAUCUGUUCUUAUCAGCUUAACAUCUGAUAGAUUCUCCAUCGGAGAACAACAAAUGUUAAACUGAUUUUUGGAAAUAGACGGAGUGUUUAAGGAGCUUGCUCCACCUCUGUCACGGGUUGGCCCAGUAUUGCAGUAUCACUGGUAUUUUGGCCCAAUUUAU